rnacentral:misc_RNA from 1 species
UAGGUCGCCGCCCUCCUCGCGAGGCCGGUAACGUAAGUUAGGGCCACUAAAAAAAAAAAAAAAAAAAAAAAAAAAGCGUUGUUUUUGUUUCUGUUGCUGGGGCACUGCAAGAUUAAUUAGCACUGCAUUAUGCUUUAGGCAAGGCUUUAGGGCCCUGCACUGCAUCAACAAAUUUGAAGUGGAUUGUUUCAAUUUCUUCUUGCACGAACGUAGCGAUGCGCGGCGGCGGCGGCGGCGGCUGGGCCGUGCUGGUCGUGCUGGCGGGCGUGGCGGCCGUGACCGCCGUGGAGUACACCAACCAAUUCGCCGUGGUGGUGGCCGGCGGUCGGGAGCGCGCCGCACGAGCCGCCGCCAAACACGGCUGCUCCCUGGUCGACUCGAUCGGCGACCUGACGGACCACUACCUGUUUGAGUGUCACACGGUGCACAAACGCUCCACACAGCACUCCCAGCACCACACCGACCGGCUCCGGGAGACAGACGAGAUACUAUGGGCGGACCAGCAAUACUACAAAACGCGCCGGAAGCGGGACGGCGCCGGUGACGGCGGUGGGCUGACUGAGGAGCUGCUGAACGAGAUCUCAGACUCGGGGCCCUCGGCGGCCGGGCCGCUGCGGCGCGCCACCCUGAAGGAGGAUCCUCCGCCGGCCAAUCAGGAGCCGCCGCCUCAGACGGAGUUCCGGCGCAGCACGGCGGCCGACUACUGGCCCGACCCGCUGUUCAAGGAGCAGUGGUACCUGAACGGCGGCGCCCGGGACGGCAGCGACAUGAACGUGCUGCCCGCCUGGCAGCAGGGCUACCGCGGCCAGGGCGUGGUCGUCUCCAUCCUGGACGACGGCAUCCAGCCCAACCACCCGGACCUGGCCGCAAACUACGACGGCAGGGCGUCCCUCGACAUCAACGACGACGACGACGACCCGACACCGCGCGACGAUGGCUUCAACCGGCACGGCACGCGCUGCGCCGGCGAAGUGGCCGCCAUCGCCGGCAACCAGUACUGCGGCGUCGGAGUGGCACCCAACGCCAGCAUCGGAGGAGUGCGCAUGCUGGACGGCGGGGUGAACGACUACGUGGAGGCCAAGGCGCUCAGCUACCGCAGGAACUACAUCGACGUCUACAGCGCCAGCUGGGGUCCCGAGGACGACGGCAAGACGGUGGACGGGCCCGGCCCGCUGGCGCGCCGCGCCUUCAUCGAGGGCGUGCUGAAGGGCCGCGGCGGCAAGGGCUCCAUCUUCGUCUGGGCCUCCGGUAACGGCGGCCGCUACGUGGACAACUGCAACUGUGACGGCUACACCAACAGCAUCUUCACGCUGUCCAUCUCCUCGGCCACGCAGGGCGGGAAGAAGCCGUGGUACCUGGAGGAGUGUGCUUCCACCCUGGCCACCACAUACAGCUCCGGUCUGCCGUCCCAGGACAAAUCGAUCGCCACCUGCGACCAGGACGCCGCCCUCCGGCCCAAACACAUCUGCACCGUGUCACACACAGGUACCUCGGCGUCGGCUCCGCUGGCCGCCGGUAUCAUCGCGCUGACGCUGGGAGCCAACCCCAACCUGACCUGGCGGGACAUGCAGUAUAUUACGCUGAUGACGUCUCGGCCGGAGCCACUGGCGCACGAGCUCGGCUGGCUCACCAACGGUGUCGGACGGAAGGUGAGCCACAAGUUUGGGUACGGCCUGAUGGACGCUGGAGCCAUGGUGGACCUGGCCAGGCGGUGGCACACUGUGCCCACACAGCACAUCUGUAUCACCCCUCUGGACAGCCGUACUCGCCGAAUCCCACCCGAGGAGGGCGGCGAGCUACACACAUCGAUGGAAGUGAACGCGUGCCAGGGCUCGCCGCAGUCGGUCAACUUUCUCGAGCACGUGCAGUGCAAGGUGACGCUGACACACGUGCCGCGCGGCGGCCUGCGCAUCCUGCUCAGCUCUCCGUCCGGCACUGUCAGCACACUGCUGUUCGAGCGGCCGCAGGACGUGCUGGGAAGCAGCUUCGACCGCUGGCCCUUCAUGUCGGUGCACUUCUGGGGCGAGCGACCCGAGGGCGUCUGGAACCUGACGGUGGUCAACACCAAGGCGGCAGCGUCGGCGGGCACCUCCAGUUCGGACAGCGUGCUCAAGGAGUGGCAGCUGAUCCUGUACGGGACCGAGCAGGAGCCCGUCCACCUGACACCGGCCGAACAGGGCACCGGCAGUGACGCUGGCGCCGGCCACUCUGCCGUGGUCAGUCGCAGCGAGGACUCGUCACCGGGCGUGUACUGCAGUCGCAGCUGUGUGCUGGCCUGUCAGAGUCAGCCCGCAGCCGAUAUGUGUAAACGGUGCCGCGACCACUAUAAGAGCCCGUGUCAGCGCUGGUGUGACCCCGGCACGUACUACGGCGGCGAGGCGGGCUGUCAGCCGUGCCACGCCACGUGCGCCACGUGUCUGGGCCGGCUGGCCAACCAGUGCAUGGACUGCGCGGCCGGCCACUACCUGAUCGCCGACCUGAGCGUGUGCGUGCCCGCCUGUCCGGACGGCUACUUCACAGCGAACGAGACGUGCCAGUCGUGCGGCCCGCACUGCACGGCCUGUGACGGCUCUGCCAACCACUGCGUCAGCUGCGCGCCGCACCUGUUCCUGCACAACAGCCAGUGUGUGGCCUCGUGUCCGGCCGGCACCUACCGGCUCCAGCAGAGGUGUGAGCGUUGCGCCGACGGUUGUAUGACGUGCAUCGGUCCGAACGACAACAACUGUGUGCUGUGUCGCCGGGGCCUGUUCCACUUCAACGGACAGUGCGUCAACUCCUGCCCGCCAGGCACGUUCGGGGAGGCGGUGAGCGGCGAGUGUGUCGCCUGCUGGCCGGGCUGUGACGAGUGCAGCGGUCAGCGGGCGUGUCGGCGCUGCGCCCGCGGCUGGCUGCCGAUCCGCGACGGCACCUGUCAUCCGGAUAAUGGACCCUGUCCUGAAGGGGAGUUUUACGACGGCGAGUCGUGCGGCCGGUGCCACCGCAGCUGUCUGGCCUGCACGGGCCCCAUGGCUGUCGAGUGCUCGCGCUGCCAGCCGGCCUCCGUCCUGCACAACGGCCUCUGUUACGCCGAGUGCCCGGAGGGCUGGUGGGCCUCGGACGGCGUCUGCCGGCGCUGCCACCACACCUGUCAGGACUGCAGCGGCCAGCGCGGCUGCACAGUCUGUCAGCAGGACCUGCUGAUGCACGGCGACACCUGCGUCACCGCCUGUCCCGUCAGGACGUACCGGGCUCUGGACGAGUGUCUGCCCUGCUCGCCGGGCUGCGUGCGGUGCGUCGGCGGCCGCGCGGACGAGUGUGUCGCCUGCGGAGAGGGUCUGCUGCUGACUGGGGGUAGCUGUGUGUCCCGCUGUCCGGACGGCCAGUUCGCCGCGGGGGAGGUCUGCCGGCGCUGCCACCACUCCUGCCGCACGUGCACAGGCGGCGGUAUGACGGGCUGCACCUCGUGCGCCCGCGGCUUCCAAAUGCGGCCCGCCGAGCGCGCGUGCGUGCCGUGCGCCGACCACGAGUUCUACUCGCCACGGGACGCCACGUGCCGGACGUGCCACCCCUCGUGCGCCACGUGUCACGGCGCCGGCCCCGAGAACUGCACCUCGUGCGCCGGAGAUCUGCACCUAGAGAAGCAGCGCGGUCGGUGUGUGCCCUGCUGUGACAGACACCGGCCGCUGCCCGAUACCGACUCGUGCUGUACCUGUGACCCGUCCGGAGAUCACUGUGUGCGGGGCACCUGGCGGCGCACGGCCGGGCCAGAGUUCCAGCCGCUGGAGCCGGCGACCUCCGACGGCACAUUCAGCUGGUUCUACGUGCAGGCGGUGGGCGGGUGCGCCGCCACGCUUCUGCUGUUCGUACUCAUCUUCUUGGGCCUACAGUGUCACGGCCGUGGUCCUCGCCGAGCUCCGGUCCUGGAGCUCACGGAAAACGAGGAGCGACUCGCGCUCACCGAAUACCAAAACGAAGACAACCUGGACGACCUGAGUGACAGCGAAGAGCAUCUAGUUGUGUUCGACACACGGACUUAGCGCUUGGUUUCCUGGGCGUCGGCCGGUGCUCGGUCUUGAUGCUGCCUCUAACGAGAGUAUUUUUGUACAGCAUCUUGUGUGCCAUACCCGACCUUGGCGUGGGUUGAGAGGUCGGCUUCGCUAUCAACAGUUAGCUCUUAUCUAGCAUUUUCUGUGAUGGAACCUGUGAAGACUCAUCGAAGUUGCAUUUGUGAUGCACUGUGGUUCUCGUUUUGAAUUCGCCAGAGUGCUGCUUUUCAUCGUGGUUGAUGUUGAUCCUUGUCUAAACUUUUUUUUGUUAUUCUGAUAUGAAAAGGUGCUCAGAAGGGCGGAAUGCAUUCCAUCGAAACUUUCCGAUGCUGGGGAAAUAUGCCGCUCACGCAUUCGCUGAAGCUCUUAUCGGAGCGGUAAUGCAUAAUCUAGCCAGCCGGGUUUAUUGAAUAAUGGAUGAUGAUGCCGCUCUCAGUUUGUUGGUUGGCCUCGUCGAUGAUGUCUUUGAUGCGUAUCGGUCUGUGUUGUUUGCAAUGUGGAGUGCCGAAUGUCGCUGCGUGAAAGAGAAUCGAAGUGGUUUUAAUGAUGUUUCGGAAUGCUUGAUUUGAUUAGACCAACGUGUGCUGCCCGCUUGCACUUAUAUAUCCCACCGAGUCCGGCACUGUGCCGCUCUUUGACGCUGGUCACGCAUGAUGGUGCGUGUUGUGAUGUGGCAUUGACGAAUGAUCCUUAAUUAUCCUGUGUUCUUAGAAGUGCCAUAUUCGCCGAUAUGUCUUGAUCUGACAGGUGCUGAAUGUUCAGCCGCUCCCCGUCUCCCUCUGCGUCUCUGUCUCCCCUCUGCGUCUCUCCGUCUCCCCUGCUCUGUCUCCCAGUGAGCGGCUUACUGUGAGCACCCGCCGCCUAUCCCGAUGAUUGCGUCUGUCCGAGAAGGAUAGAUUUGCCGGCCGGCCGGCCAGGUGAACGGUAAUGCUCAGAUUACCUGCCCGGGGCGGCCGCCGCGCGGACGGACGCCUCAUGUGUGCGCCGGCCUCGGCUUCGAUCACAGCGAUCGUGUGCCCGGCCGUACCACUCGUGCGUCCUUGGUGAAUCGUCGGGGCCAGUGUCGUAUCUAUAUGUAUUGUGACGUGAAUGGAAUACUGUUCUCAUGGGAAACUAUAUACGCUGAAUAUAUGCGUUGUGAUUA